ACCCAAUAAUUGAGGAAAAUAAUAAUAAAAAUGUCCCUUUUUCUCAUUGAAGACAAAGGCAUGUGAGACUCUGGGGGGAGGGGACUACCAGCAUCUUUGGCGCCGGAGCAAGGUGCCCUUCUUUUUUCAUGGGGUGGCGACCACCUGUAAGCGACCUUUCCAUUCCAAUCCACAGGCGAAUUUCUAUGAUAAAGUCAGGCUUUUUUUUAUAUUAAAAAGCAUAGCACGCCGUUCCAUAGAUUCGUUUUGUGAGAGUGAUUUCUAGCAAACUUCAGUCACAAGAAGGAUCGAAUUUAACCCAGAAAGUUCUUACGCACUCACUAGCAAAGCAACUUCUUGUACUCCUGCUUGACCUGCUAAUUCUGCUGGUUGCUUGGAGAUUGGCUUUCCACUCUCUUAGAAUCUCCUCCUCUCAAGGCCGAGUGUUUUUUUUCAUGCAAAAAUCAAAAGUUGACGGAGCCAAUCUGAUGGGAAGGGCACAGGAAUCUGAUGCAAGGAUAGAAGAACUAAGAGUCCGUUUGUUUACGCGGUUGAUAUGUUCAAACUUAUUUGUAUCCCUUCAGUAUGUCUGUUUAUAAACUAGAUUGAUAUGUUCAAACUUUUUUUUUUAUUAAGAAAAUCAGGCGAGACAAAUAAGUUUGCCAACGAAAAUAAAAAUAAUUUUUAAUUUUGUCA